UACGUAGGUGGCGAGCGUUGUCCGGAUUUACUGGGCGUAAAGAGUGCGCAGGCGGUCGGGUGAGUCGGAUGUGAAAGCCCCCGGCUUAACUGGGGAGGGUCAUUCGAUACUGUUUGACUCGAAGGCAGGAGAGGGAAGUGGAAUUCCCGGUGUAGUGGUGAAAUGCGUAGAUAUCGGGAGGAACACCAGAGGCGAAGGCGACUUACUACAGGGACAUUGACACUGAGACACGAAAGCGUGGGGAUCAAACAGG
rnacentral:rRNA from 1 species